CAUGUAGGCGGUCUGUCAAGUCUGAUGUGAAAGCCCGGGGCUCAACCCCGGAAGUGCAUUGGAAACUGGCAGACUUGAGUACGGGAGAGGAAAGUGGAAUUUCGAGUGUAGGGGUGAAAUCCGUAGAUAUUCGAAGGAACACCAGUGGCGAAGGCGACUUUCUGGACCGAUACUGACGCUGAGAUGCGAAAGCGUGGGGAAGCAAACA
rnacentral:rRNA from 1 species